rnacentral:rRNA from 1 species
GUCCACGCCGUAAACGAUGAAUACUAGGUGUUGGAGGAAUUGAUCCCUUCAGUGCCGACGCUAACGCAUUAAGUAUUCCGCCUGGGAAGUACGGUCGCAAGACUAAAACUCAAAGGAAUAGACGGGGCCCGCACAAGCGGUGGAGCAUGUGGUUCAAUUCGACGCAACGCGAAGAACCUUACCUGGACUUGACAUCUGGAGAAUUCCCUUGAAAGAGGGAAGUGCUCGCAAGAGAGCUCCAAGACAGGUGCUGCAUGGCUGUCGU